GCCUAGGAUCUGCCUCUCAGCUGAUUGGUGGGUGGGCAGGGCUUCCUGAGAAGCCUCCGAUAGGCCUCCCUGAAGCCUGAACUCAGCAGGCCCCAGCAAGCCAGGAAGGAGGAGGCUGGCAGAGCUCCCUGCAGCAGACCCUCCCUGCAGCACAGCUUUUGCAAGCGUGUUGGUUGGAAGGCAGAGAAAGGAUUUAUUUCCUCCUGAAACCUGAAGAGCUUUCUCCUGCUGGCUGCCAUCUCUACAUGAGGCCUCCUUAGUCAAGAAGAUUCCAUGCUCAAUUCACCAAAGGAGAUGGGCCGAGUGACAUAUGCCACUGCAUGAAAUGACUCUCACCUCACCCUUCAGACACCCCAAGAGUCUGGCUCCAUUAUGACUGUGCACAAAAGUCCGGGUCCACCGCCAAACAAAGGGAUGGGAAAGUGUCAAGGACCCUGUCUCCACAUUACUCUUCAGAGCGCCACAGACAGGACUGAGUUUAAACUAAUUAGUUGAGAAAUAGCAUCCCGAACAAGCAGAGGCUUGACCCAGGACCCCCUGCAUUCCACAGAGGCUUCAAGUGGAUACACUUACACUCAUUUCUCAGUCUGGCAGUUCUUAACAGUUGCACAGAUCUGGAGAGGCAUGGAUGGCAGAUGAACCCGACCUCCAAAGGGCCCUCCAAAGAGUGCUUUUCUACAGUGAGGGCAUGGUCUUUUGCAGAGGGUGACACUGUGCUGUCAAUUGCACAUGAGAAACAUUUGUUUCAAUGGAAUUUCUCAGUUCAUUAAUCCUACUGUGUGUAGCUAUAACUAACAUUUUACCUAUCGCCUGUUGAUGUCCCUCUACAAGGGAAGUAUUAUAUAAAUAAAAGGUAUUCAU